rnacentral:rRNA from 1 species
CUACGGGGGGCAGCAGUGGGGAAUAUUGGACAAUGGGGGAAACCCUGAUCCAGCCAUGCCGCGUGUGUGAAGAAGGCCUGCGGGUUGUAAAGCACUUUCGGUUGGGAGGACUGCUUCUAGCACUAAUAUUGUUGGAAGUUGACGUUACCUUCAGAAGAAGCACCGGCUAACUCCGUGCCAGCAGCCGCGGUAAUACGGAGGGUGCAAGCGUUAAUCGGAAUUACUGGGCGUAAAGCGCGCGUAGGCGGCUAGAUAAGUCGGGUGUGAAAGCCCCGGGCUUAACCUGGGAACUGCAUCCGAUACUGUCUAGCUUGAGUACAGGAGAGGAGAGUGGAAUUCCACAUGUAGCGGUGAAAUGCGUAGAUAUGUGGAGGAACACCAAUGGCGAAGGCAGCUCUCUGGCCUGAUACUGACGCCGAGGUGCGAAAGCGUGGGGAGCAAACAGGAUUAGAUACCCGUGUAGUC